UCCAUGUCAAAGACGGGAUUCCCCCCCUCUAUGAUGCUCCCUUCCAGGAGACUUGUACACGGCCCAGCCCGGAUAGCACUUCUCUAGAUUACAACUCGGACAGCCAAAAGACCGCCAGAUUUUAAAUUUGAGCUUUUCCCCCUUCACUCGCAGUUACUAGGGGAAUCCUUGUUAGUUUCUUUUCCUCCGCUUAUUGAUAAGGAAAA
rnacentral:rRNA from 1 species